rnacentral:lncRNA from 1 species
AAACUACUGAAAAAUAAAACUAAAAGCAGGAAAUGAAACUUAUAUCAAGAAAAUUUGCGGGCUAACGCUGAAACGGCUCUUAUGACUGUGACAGAACAAAAUGGCCGAACCGUAGCCGUAAUUAGCGCACCGUUAAACUUUCAGACUUUGCACCCAACACCCUCAACUGAAGAACCUAACCUCCAACUGAUAAGCUGAUAUUAUGGCAUAUGCUGAUAUCAGCCGUUCUAAUAUUUUUUUCUAUAGAAAUAAUUACAGAAAAGAGCAAAUUCAUCGAAAAAAGAGCAUCAAGAGUUACCUCUUGGGAUGCAUUAUUGUUGGAUGAAGAAUUAUUGAAUAUCCUGAAGUCUCAAGUUCAAGCAGCUCUAAAGUACUUUCCACCAUGGAUUGUUGACCGGCUGGAAUCAAAACCAACAUCAUCUUAAAUCUAAUUAUAUGGAAGGUGAGCGAUGGAUUCAACAAUUUUUUCAAAGCCAAUUUUUUUCUUGACUCUCAAAUACCCCUUACUUAAGCAAUGUGCCAGAAGAAUUGAAAAGCUUUUCCAUGGUGACUUUUCACAAUAUCAGUUUUUUUUUGGGGGGGGGGGCAUCGUUUAUGAAUGACCCCUCCCUUAAAAUUUAUACCAGAUAACACACUCUCUUCUAACUAACAGCUUUCAAAGUUAAAUGAAUUAAAGUUUCAAGUGACAGAAUAGCAUGAGCACUGGAAAGAAUUCACAAGCAUGUUUUUUUUUUUCAUUCUAAAAUCCAAAUAAGCUUUCCAGCAAAAAGGGAAUGGUCUGUAAGAGGAGAUGAAUGCUUGAAUGAGAUUCCAGUUCAAAGUCUUUAAUAUUAGUCACUCAGUCUUGAGAAUAAGGUGGAUAAUAUGUAACCAAUGUACAGUUGAAUUCCAGAAGUGAACCAGUUUGAAAAUAGCUAAUCAUUACGAUUUUUUUUCUUCUUUUUUUGAUUUUUUUUUUUGGUGGUAUACUUACCUACCUAACUUUUUCCUAAAAAUAUCUGCCUUAGAGUUAUGUCCCCAAGACUCAUUGAAAAUGAAUUAAUAUAUAUCUUAUUCUGCCCAUAAUUUUCACCACAAGGGAGCAAAUUAAGUUGCUUCACUGUAUCUCUCAGU